rnacentral:lncRNA from 1 species
UAAUUCCGCUAAUCGGACUGGAGUUUGAGCCCCAGCUCUUGUCCUAAGCUGAGGCCUUUCCCCGUCAGGCGUCUAGGGGCCUCCAUCAUUUCUCUUGACAGGAGCCGUGGGCGUCUGGGCAGAUGGGAACGUGGGGGAGCUGUGGAGGACCCUCUCUGAGGCAGGAAGCUCCCACUCCUGUAGUUAAAAUACUCCAGCAGCAACUUGAGGAAGCCAUCUGGCCCAGAUCUCUCAGGGCCAAAAGCAGGAAGAGCAGGUGUGGGAAAUUCUCAAGGUCACAGAACCUUUGUGGAGUUGAAAAGAAGGCUCAGAUCAUCGAGUUUUACAGUUUCAUUUUCAGGUGAAGACACGGAAGCCCAGACGGGUAAAGAGACUCGUCGACAGUUGAACAAUAAACUAGCGAGCAGGGACCAACAGUGUGGUCCUCAUGGGUCCAGAGCAGGGCGGUUUCCGCAGCAGCAUGGAAGGACCCAGAAGCUAAACAUCCAAGACUGGGCCCUGUGUGAGUUUCUGGCUUGGAUGAAAGUGAAGACUAUACCAGAUAACAAGAGACAGGUGGAAGCUGAAGUGUGGUGUUCCAAGUCAGAGAUCUGGGUUGAGAUUCCCACCCUGCCACGCGCUAGCUACGUAACCCUGGGCAAGUUAUGUAACUACCUCAGGCGUCCGUUCCCUCACCUCCGAAAGAGGAUAAUCACAUUCCCCUCAUCACAGGACCAGGAUGAGGUUAAAGGCAGUAACCUGGGCCAAGCACCCAGUAUAAUGCUCAGCACAAAAUAGAUAGUAAUUUCCUUCACAUUUCCCGUGGAUUCUCUGUCCCUUCUGCGAUGGGCCUCUGCCCUCUAACUGGACAGAAGGGCACAUCUGUCAUAAAGAAAUCUGCAGGAUAGGGAGUGUCUGUGGUGAGUGUGAAUGAGGUGUGGACAAGGUGAGGAGGUUUGCGGGGCCCAAGUGCUCCUUGUUGAUGCGGGAGGUGGGAGGAAACCAAUUGGCAGAGUUAUUCG